rnacentral:tRNA from 1 species
CAAGGGGUAGUUUAAUUAAAAUCUUGGCUUUGGGAGCCAGGGAUGAGGAUUUGUUUCCUUCCUCUUGA